rnacentral:rRNA from 1 species
UACGGAGGGUGCAAGCGUUAUCCGGAUUCACUGGGUUUAAAGGGUGCGUAGGAGAGCAGGUAAGUCAGUGGUGAAAUCUCCGAGCUUAACUUGGAAACUGCCGUUGAUACUAUCUGUCUUGAAUAUUGUGGAGGUGAGCGGAAUAUGUCAUGUAGCGGUGAAAUGCUUAGAUAUGACAUAGAACACCAAUUGCGAAGGCAGCUCGCUACACAUAUAUUGACUCUGAGGCACGAAAGCGUGGGGAUCAAACAGG